UACCCGCUGAAUUUAAGCAUAUAAGUAGGUGGAGGAAAAGAAACCGAAUGGGAAUCUCUUAGUAAUGGCGAAUGAAAGGAGAUGUGCUUAGUGUCAAAAUCAGAUUACUCUGACUUGUAGGCUGUAAGGGCUUUGCCAACUUGGGUGCAGGUGCAAGUCUCUUGGAAAGGAGCACCAGUGAGGGUCAAGGUCCCGUCUGGCAUCUGUCAUCCCUCGUAGACGGUCUGCCCAUUGAGAGUCGUGUUCUUCUGGAGUAGAGCGCCAAUUGGGUGGUACUCUUUGCCCAAGGAGGAUUACGUGCUUGAGACCAAUAGUGAACAAGUACCAUGAGGGAAGGAUGAAAAGGACUUUGGAAAGAGGGUUAAGAGGGCAUGAAGCUGCUGGAAGGGAAGUGGAUUGGACUUUUACAUCGCAGUAAGAUUGCAGUCUGUGAUCUCCACUUGUGGGGCAUUGCGUGCUGUGUUUCUUGCUGCUUGGUUGGGUUUUGCGUUGUGCCCAGAAUCUCAGUUUUGACUGGCAGAAGGAUUGCGAUCUGGACCAUGUCAUUGCCUACUUUUGGCGCAGCAUUCAACCUUGACCAACAGGUUCAAUUUUACCCGUCUUGAAACACGGACCAAGGAGUCUAUUGCGUGGGCACGUGCCUGGGCAUCACACCUGACAUCUCAGCACAGGUGACUGCUGAGACCUCUGCACCACCAACCAACUGAUCGCUUAUGAGAUGUUUGUGUAUGAGCACACUUGCUAGGACCCGAAAGGUGGUGAACUAUGCCUGAGAAGGGUGACGUCAGGGGAAACUCUGAUGGAUGCUCGUAUCGCUACUGACGUGCAAAUCGUUCGUCUGACUUGGGUAUAUGGGCGAAAGACUAAUCUAACCUUCUAUAUCUGGUUCCCUCCGAAA
rnacentral:rRNA from 1 species